rnacentral:rRNA from 1 species
GUAGUAGCAAAUACUCUAGCGAGGCCCUGGAGGGCUGAUGCGGAGAAGGGUUUCGUGUGAACAGCCGUUGCACACGAGUCAGUCGAUCCUAAGCCCUAGGAGAGAUCCGAAGCAUCGGGCCGCAGGCCCGGUCGGGCGAAAGGGAAUCCGGUCCCCAUUCCGGAACCCGGUCGCGGAACCGUCMCACGUCGGGCCCCCCGUCCGCGAGGGCGGGAAGCUCGUCGGGGCGACCCAAAAAGACCCGGAGAAGCCGUCGGGAGGUCGGGGAAGAGUUUUCUUUUCUGUUUGAGCGUUCGGGUUCCCUGGAAUUGCCUAGCGCAGAGAGAGGGAAUGGAGCGCGUAGAGCACCGCAGUUGCGGCGGUGUCCCGACACGCCCCUCGGACCUUGAAAAUCCGGGGACGGGCCACGUGGAGGUCUCGCGCCGGUUCGUACCCAUAUCCGCAGCAGGUCUCCGAGGUGAAGAGCCUCUAGUCGAUGGACUAAUGUAGGUAAGGGAAGUCGGCAAAUCGGAUCCGUAACUUCGGAACAAGGAU